GAUGAAGAACGUAGCGAAAUGCGAUAAGUAAUGUGAAUUGCAGAAUUCAGUGAAUCAUCGAAUCUUUGAACGCACAUUGCGCCCGCCAGCACUCUGGCGGGCAUGCCUGUCCGAGCGUCAUUUCAACCCUCGCGCCGUCCCUCCAGGGGGCUCGGCGCGGUGUUGGGGGACACGGCCCCGGCCGCCCCCGAAAUGCAGUGGCGACCCCGCCGCGGCCCCUCCAGCGCAGUAAGCACGCUCGCUACGGGAGGCCCGGUGGACGCGUCCGCCGUAAAACGCCCAACCCUUCAGAAGUUGACCUCGGAUCAGGUAGGGAUACCCGCUGAACUUAAGCAUAUCAAUAAGCGGAGGA
rnacentral:misc_RNA from 1 species